GUAAAAGAAAAAGUAGGCUACAAUAGGCUCUUCAUCAUCUUUGAAAGACUGUCAUGACUUUUUCAGGGAAAUAAUAAAUAUCCAAUGGCCCUUGGUCCGGCAUUUCCUAAAAGCUGAAACAUGAAAAAAAGGAAAGGAAAAAGAAAGAGAUAAAAAUAUUCCAAAUAUCUAACACGUGCACAGCAUCAACGGAUGACUGGGCGCACUGGUAUUUCUGAGACGCCAGGGGUUAAUUUAAGACCACGGGGGAAACCUGUUGAUGAUUAGAGCCGCGGAGCGCCACAUGUAGACGGAGCUCUCCUCUCCAUCCCUCCUCCCCGGGCCUGAGGCUGCACAUUGGGCUACACGGACCCUCUCUCUGCCGCUCCCCCAGACGGACCUUCUAUCCAGCGCUACCCGGGCCCCACUGCUCUCCAGCGGACACACAAGGUCGACUUGUCUGAGAAACACUAUACGGGUGGAGACGGGGGACUAAGCUCUAUUAUUUAUUUUCGAGUUUUCCUCCAAUAGUUCCUCAAUAUCUGAUCAUUCAAAAGGGACUCAGGAUGCGUGAUUGAGGCUUCCUGGACUCUUUUUUCAUCACUAUUCCGUUGUGCAGGUUCUCCACUCUUCCAGAAACAUGGCGUUCCUCACCGGAAUAUCUUUACUAUGCUUCACAUAUUUAUUUGGCAGAGGACAAAGUGUUGCUCAGAUUUGCAGGGGGUCCCACUGCUUCCCAGAAGCUCAGGACUGGAGCCAACCGUGCGUUGGAGAGUACUGUUCGGGGGGGGGCAGGCAUCUACCCCGCGGCGACACGUCAGUCCGCCGGUACAAGCCAGGCCACCGCAGGUCUUCCCCGGGUACCAGCAGGUGAACGCUCAGACCCUCCACCGCCAGGUGCACAGCGCGCCGUCCAGGCCCUACACCGCGGGGUUCACACACCCGCGGGGGGAGGACACGGAGGGCACGAGGACCACCAACCCGCGGACCCUCACGGCGGAGGUGUUCCACCCGGACUGCCAUGGUGGGAAGUGCCAGAGCGGGAUCUCCUCCAGCAGGACGGAGGCGGCCACGCAGAGGGACUGUAAGGGCAUCGAGUGUAGACUCCCUAUGCGGCUGCGCCAGAAGCCCCCGCCGUGCGUCGGGCCCGGCUGCGGGCCCCCUGGGGCCGACACGGCAGGGAGAGUGAGCCCUUCGCCUGUGCACGUGACGGACCGGGCGGCGCAGUUCCUCGGCGACCUGGCAGACAGCGGCGGGACCCCCUCCUCCUCCUCCUCCCCCUCCUCCCUGGGGGGUCCAGCUGACGUGCGACAUGAAGCCAGGCACCAACGAGGUUCCUGAAGAUGCCCUGGUGCUCCAGCUUCGUCUCUCCAAGGGCCAGGAGGCGCUGAUCGAGGCCCUGCGGGGCCAGCAGGCCGAGGUGAAGGAGCUGCAGCGGCUGCUCACCGGCCAGCAGGGGGCGCUGGUCAGCCAGCAGCGAGACAUCCUGGAGCAACAGCGGAGGAUGUACGAGCAGAUGGACCACGUGAAGGCCCAGUACAGCGUUCUGCUGGAGAACAUCAAGCAGAUGUCCUUCCAGGACCUCCAGGGAGAGCUGGACCACUCGAGGGGCAGCCCGGUCCGGGCCCAUCACACACAGCAGGCCUUCGCCGUGCACAGGGCCGACAUGGAGGCCCAGGUCGUGCAGGUGGGGCGCCCCCUGCAGGCCUGUGGGACCUGUGGCCCUGAGGAGCACUGCAGCCUCAGCACCGGUCAUCCCGGCUGUGAGCGCUGCACCGUCUGCCCCGCCGGCUUCUUCAUGGUGGCCGAGUGCACCGUCCACGCUGACCGCAUCUGCCAGGACAGAGACGAAUGCCUUGAGGUAACAAACCAAUGUGGAGACUCACAAAAGUGUCUCAACACUCCAGGCGGCUUCAGAUGCCAGGGCAUGACAGAGCGCGAUGCCAACUCAGGGAUGUGCAGCCAUGGCUACUUCUUCAACAUCGACAUGGACGAGUGCCAGGCCUGCUCUGAGUGCGAGGGGGACCCCGUGGUGGCGCACUGCACCUUCACCACUGACACCGUGUGCUCCACCUCACCCUCUGGCGACGCCUCAUCCCCCCUCUCCCUCUCGCUCUCCUGGGCGGGUGAGGUGGACCUUCCCCCGGCGUCCCGGGGCCAGGCCUUGGGCCACAGCCUUCCCAUCGUGGCCCUGCAGAUCCAGGGCCGGGAGGACGGGGAGCUGGUGUCAGCGGAGGACGGCCGGCUGGUGCUGAUGCAGCACGGCCUGGUGUGGCUGGAUGAGAACCUGUCCCUGAGCCACGGCUGUCGCAGCUUCGUCCAGGUGUGCCUGCAUCUCAACACCACGGACGACGGCUCCGAAGAGGGACGCGACCUCAGCGGUGUGCGUGUGGAGCAGCGGGAGGGCCGCUCGCUGCAAAGUGCAAGCAUCAGUGGAGUGGCGGUGGUUGCCCCCGGUUACCUCAUAUCCCUGUUCCUGAAGAGCGCCACACAACACUGUAACCAUAGCGACGGGCUGCAGCUGUACAACCCACCGGGCUCUCCCCUAAGUCUCCUCUGGCUGUCCCACGACACCGGAGCGGUCGCAAUGACAGCGCAGGCGGUGGCCUCAGCCCACUACCACACAAACUACCGCCCCGUGUUCAAGACCACCUUUGCCUCGGACCCCUACGUGCUGGGACUGACCCAUGACGGGCGGGGUGUGCGCUUCUCAGAGAGUGGCACCGUGCGCUUUGUCUUCCAGCAGGCGCUGUACUCCAUGGGCCAGGCCUGCGUCAACGAGGGCUUCCAUCUCUUGGCAUACCUGAACCACAAUGGCACCGGCGUGGAGCUGUCCCGCACCUUCAAACCAGGCGUCCACUACCGGGACACCUCCGUCUCACUGUCCGGGGCAGCCAGGGUUGACCAUGGGGACACACUGGCCUUUGAAGUGCUCUGCCCUGCCCAGUGCAACGUGCGCUACUUCGGCGACGGUACAGGCAUCAGCAUCCUUAGUCUGGUUUGGGUGCCUGCCGCCAUCUCCUCCUCACUGGCAGCGUCCGUGGCCCAAGCGGGCCUCCUGUCCGGGGCCGUCCGUAACAAACCCCUGUUCUUCCAGCAGACCUCGCCCCAGGUCCCCCAGAUGGCCAUGACGGUGAAGGGUCCCAGAGAGCAGAAACGAGACUUCGUCUUCAGGGAGAGUGGCACGGCAAGCAUGGCACUGGACCUUAAACUCAUCCACUCCUGCAGCCUGCUGAAGGUGACCUUGCUCCGGCGGGGCGACCAAGAGAAGCGAGGGGAGGGUGGGGGGGAGAGAGGUACGGUGGAGGGAGCGAAACCCGUCCUACUUAGCCAGCAGGUUGGGGGGCAGAUGCCCGAGGGCAGCCAUUGGGCCAGUGUGGCUCUACGGGCAUCCUUCCAGGUGCGGAACGGCACGGCAGUGUUCUUCACCUUGGACUGUGUGCGUGGGCGUGUCAACCAGAUCAGUCACCAGACAGGAAGUGGGGUAUCAAUCCUCUGGGUGGCUGUGUAGGAUUCUGGGCUAACUGAGAGGGUACCAAAUGUGUGUACCUCGGUUAAUGUUGUAUAUUUUUCAAGAACAUAUAUCCUGUUAUUAGUCAAUAUUACAUAAUUUCUUAAGGUCCGCCACGUUUAAUUCGUUUUUGUGAUAAAUGUAACUAUCAUAGACAUACUUUAUUAUAAAUGAACUCAUAUCUAAUUAUAACAGCAGAUAUAUUUAACUAUAUUUAGGUAUUUAUUUUACGUUACAUUUGUAAUAAUGACAUUUAUAUAAACUAAUAGCUUCCUGAUCUCUAUUAUCUGUAAUAACAUCAAUGGAAUGAAGGUUUUAGUCCAUGAGUAGUGUUUGUAGUGUUCCGAUGAUCUCCAUGUAAUUUGUCUGUUCUUUAUGUAGCUGGGCUUCUCUCUUCCUGCAGAGAGAAUGAACAUCCUGGUUGGAUUUUACGAGUGAGCAUGUGUUUCAAGUUAGCCCCUAUUUUGUAAUGCCCAUUACCACUGAAGGCCUUGUUUAAUGACCACUUUAUGCAUAUUUCCAACUUAAAGAACCCCCAUGUGUUGGACCAGAUCCCUGCCAUGUCAUCCGCCCAAUGGAAGGGAAAUGUUACAGUAAACAAGUGGUUGAACACAAACUCCGGCACAAGUUGAACAAUCCAAACUGUAAUGAUUUUUUUUUGGGAAUCCAAUAAAUUUGUUUUGCCAGAUGUGUUUUACGGUUGCUUCUGUGUUCAGCCUGCAUGGGUCUACUGUAUUUGAA
ensembl:lncRNA